ensembl:lincRNA
UAGUGAUAAUACAAUUAGAGUGAAUGUUUUUCUCUUUUUCUCUUUCUGGCUACUAUCAGUUUGUGGCAUUUCAACAGCCUCCUGUUUUGGAAGAAUCACUGAUUCUGCGGUGGAUAUUGAUCACUGAUAUGCUGGAGGCCAUGGACAUCAGACGAUCCCCAGAGGAGACAAGGAGGAGCUAUCUUUUCUUGCCAUACUUGGGAGAGCCAGGCUGCCUGCUGUGUGCAGGUUUAUGGCUCCGGAUGCCACACCUCUAAAAUUAUGGCUGAAGAAGAAGGAAGUGAAACUCGAAACUGCCCUACCCACCAUAAUUCUUCUGAUACUGAGUAUGUUCCCCUCCAGAGGAGCUUGAAGCAACAGAUUCAUCUCAGAUCUUUUCCUCUCUCCUUGUCAUCAUCUUUCUUCUCCAGGGCCCAUUACUUCCAUCUCAGUAUUUCAUACUUGAAGUGUGGCUCUGAGCAAAGGACCACAUCUUGUCUGCAGAGUGACGAAAGGAGCUAAAGCAUCUCACAGCCCUCCUGGUUCUGAUAUCUGCUGAGCCUAAUUUUCCAUCUUUCUUUCUCUCCCUUUCUCUCUUUCUUUCUCUUUCUUUCUUUCUUUCUUCCUUCCUUCUUUCCUUUCUUUCUUUCUUUCUUUCUUUUUCUUUCUUUCUUUCUUUCUUUAUUUCUUUCUUUCUCUUUCUUUCUUUCUCUCUCUCCCUUCCUUCCUUUCCUCUUUCUUUCUUUCCCUCCCUCCCUCUCUCUUUUUCUUUCUUUCUUUCUCUCUCUCUUUCUUUCUUUUCUUUCUUUCUCUUCUCUUUUUUUUUUUUUUGACAGAGUCUCUGUCUUGUCACCGAGGGUGGAGUGCAGCGGCACGAUCUUGGCUCACUGCAACCUCUGCCUCCCAGGUUCCAGCGAUUCUCAAGCCUCAGCUUCCUGAGUAGAUGGGAUUACAUGUGUGCAUCACCAUGCCCAGCUAUUUUUUGUGUGUGUGUUUUUAGAAGAGACGGGGUUUCAUCACGUUGGCCAGGCUGGUCUUGAACUCCUGACCUCAAGUGAUCUGCCUGCCUUGGCCUCCCAAAGUGCUGAGAUUACAGGCAUGAGCCACUGCACCCAGCCCCUCAUUUUCAUUCGCCAGCAAAUUGUCUUGUUUACUCUUCUGACCUCCUGGGAACCCACCAGCCCCAGGAUCUCUCUAAUCAAUAAAUUAAAUGCCUCCUCUUCUGAAACAGGAGCAAUGAUAUUAUCUCCGUUCUGUCUCACUCUCUCUGUCUUUCUCCUUUUCUACUAGCUUCCAUUUCUGUAAGUCCAACAGAUAUCUACCUCCUGAUUCCUAAUAUCAGCCAUUAGGCUAGCUGACCUAUUAACCUUUUCACAGUUGGCUUGCCUCUGCACCUGCCGUAUCCAUCAUAGUUUUACAUUUCCUGGAAACCAAAAGACUCUUAAAACAUGUUUAGUAAAUACUGUUUCCAUUCUCCUAAUGAUGCACAUUCAUGGCAAGUGACAAGUCUAAUGUGUUCAGCUGGACCUAGUCAUAAUCUCUCUGAACCCCUUAGGUACAGCCCCAUGACUUCCCAGUUGCCAAAUAUUUUCAUCCCCC